GUGUCAGCCGCCGCGGUAAUACGGAGGGGGCCAGCGUUGUUCGGAAUCAUUGGGCGUAAAGGGCGCGUAGGCGGCCGCACAAGUCGGACGUGAAAUCCCUCGGCUCAACCGGGGAACUGCGUCCGAUACUGUGUGGCUCGAGUCCUGGAGAGGGUGGCGGAAUUCCCAGUGUAGCGGUGAAAUGCGUAGAUACUGGGAGGAACACCGGUGGCGAAGGCGGCCACCUGGACAGGUACUGACGCUAAAGCGCGAAAGCGUGGGGAGCAAACAGGAUUAGAAACCCCAGUAGUCC
rnacentral:rRNA from 1 species